UACGUAGGGUGCGAGCGUUAAUCGGAAUUACUGGGCGUAAAGCGUGCGCAGGCGGUUUUGUAAGCCGGAUGUGAAAUCCCCGGGCUUAACCUGGGAAUGGCAUUCGGGACUGCAAGGCUGGAGUGCGGCAGAGGAGACUGGAAUUCCUGGUGUAGCAGUGAAAUGCGUAGAUAUCAGGAGGAACACCGAUGGCGAAGGCGGCCUGCUGGGGUGGAGCUGACGCUGAGGCGCGACAGCGUGGGGAGCAAACAGG
rnacentral:rRNA from 1 species